UACGGAGGGUGCGAGCGUUAAUCGGAAUUACUGGGCGUAAAGCGUGCGUAGGUGGUUAAUUAAGUUAUCUGUGAAAUCCCUGGGCUCAACCUGGGCAGGUCAGAUAAAACUGAAUAACUCGAGUAUAGGAGAGGGUAGUGGAAUUUCCGGUGUAGCGGUGAAAUGCGUAGAGAUCGGAAGGAACACCAGUGGCGAAGGCGGCUACCUGGCCUAAUACUGACACUGAGGCACGAAAGCGUGGGGAGCAAACAGG
rnacentral:rRNA from 1 species